rnacentral:rRNA from 1 species
GAACGCUGGCGGCAUGCCUUACACAUGCAAGUCGAACGGCAGCACGGGAGCAAUCCUGGUGGCGAGUGGCGAACGGGUGAGUAAUAUAUCGGAACGUGCCCAGUCGUGGGGGAUAACGUAGCGAAAGCUACGCUAAUACCGCAUACGAUCUAUGGAUGAAAGCGGGGGAUCGCAAGACCUCGCGCGAUUGGAGCGGCCGAUAUCAGAUUAGGUAGUUGGUGAGGUAAAGGCUCACCAAGCCGACGAUCUGUAGCUGGUCUGAGAGGACGACCAGCCACACUGGGACUGAGACACGGCCCAGACUCCUACGGGAGGCAGCAGUGGGGAAUUUUGGACAAUGGGCGCAAGCCUGAUCCAGCAAUGCCGCGUGCGGGAUGAAGGCCUUCGGGUUGUAAACUGCUUUUGUACGGAACGAAACGGUGAGCUCUAAUACAGUUUGCUAAUGACGGUACCGUAAGAAUAAGCACCGGCUAACUACGUG